UACGUAGGGCGCGAGCGUUGUCCGGAAUUAUUGGGCGUAAAGAGCUCGUAGGCGGCCGGUUGCGUCUGCUGUGAAAUCCCGGGGCUUAACCCCGGGCGUGCAGUGGAUACGGGCCGGCUGGAGGCAGGCAGGGGAGAAUGGAAUUCCCGGUGUAGCGGUGAAAUGCGCAGAUAUCGGGAGGAACACCGGUGGCGAAGGCGGUUCUCUGGGCCUGUACUGACGCUGAGGAGCGAAAGCGUGGGGAGCGAAACAGG
rnacentral:rRNA from 1 species